rnacentral:lncRNA from 1 species
AAUAAAUCUUAAAAGAAUCCUUAAGAAGUCCUAAAAAAUAUUAGAAUGAUCACAAGUAUAUCUUAAAUAAAUUCCAACCAAGUUCUAAUUUAAUCCUACUUGAAGUCAUAUGGACUUCAAUCAAAUCCUAAACAAAUCCUAAAUCCUAAACCAAAUCCUAAAUCAAACUCUAAAUAAAUCCUAAAUCAAAAAAUCAAACCUUAUAUUAAAUCUUAGAUCUUAAAUCAAAUCCUAAAUCAAAUCCUAAACAAAUCCUAAAUCCUAAAGCAAAUCCUAGACAAAUCCUAAAAUCUAAACCAAAUCCUAGAUCAAAUCUUAGAUCCUAAACUCUAAACCAAAUCCUAAAAAAAUCCUAAAUUUUAUAUCAAAUCCUAAAUAAAUUCUAAAUUCUAAAUCAAAUCCUAGACAAAUCUUAAACCUUAAUUCAAAUUCUAGACCAAAUCUUAAUCCUAAACCAAAUCCUAAUCAAAUAUUAAUUAAAUCCUAAUCAAUUCAAUCUAAACCUAACACUAUUUAGAACCUCAAUAUCUAUUAAUUGAACUAUUGAUUUUUCUUAAAAAUUUGCAUAAUUUUCAAAAAAUAAUUUGGCAAUAAGCAUACAAAUUUUGAAAAUAAUCGCACUUAUCAAAUAGAAGAAAAUUUCUAAAAUCUACUUAGAUUUUGGCCAACCUCCUAUUUCAAUUUAAAUGUUGAACUUCCAGUGUCAAUAUCUCCUUAUUGAACUAUUCAAUUGUUCUCAAAUUUCACAUUUAUGUAGCAAAUCAAGUAUAUUAUCUUGAAAUAUAAAUUUUAUCUCAAUCCAAUAAAUAGAUUUCUAAAGAUC